GGAUUGUGGCUCAGCGGUAGAGCGCUCGCCUAGCACAUGCGAGGCCCUGGGUUCCAUCCUCAGCACCA
rnacentral:tRNA from 1 species